AAUACAUUAAAUAUUAGGUGCCUAUGGGAUGUGAUGUCUAAUUAUUAGUUAGAAAUCCAAAUUUGGAACUUAGAUGAAUUAGGGAUAGGAAAUGCUUGUGUGGUAGAUCGAUAUAUAAACUAUAGCAGAUAACUCAGGGAGAUCACGUAGAGUAAAAAGAGGACUAAAGUGAAAGUUCAAGGAAAACCUAACAUUUAGGGGGAGGGAAGAUGAGGCAAGACAAGUGAACUUGAAAAUGAAAGUGGGUUCAAAUUUCAACUCGGCCACCGAACUAGAUGAGGACCAAGGCCAAGUUACUUUACCUCCUAUACCUCAGGGUCCUCAUCCAAAAAAUGGAGGUAAGCCUAGCAGUUAUUUCAUACCAUUGUUAUAAAAACUUAGAAGGAUAAAAUCUAUGAAACAUUUAAAGUCUGGCAAAUGAUAAGAAUCUAAUUAAUGGUCACUGUCUUUUGGUUUUAGUGUGAGCACAGGAGCUUGAGGAAAUAAAUAAAUAAAUACCAACUUUACCCCAAAAUGUUCUUUUAGAAAGUAGUUUAAUUUGUUAGUUCACAUAAUUAUAAAAACAAGCUUUUCUUCUGCCAGCUGACUUAGAGGAAUACCAUGUUUUACUCUUGGUUUUAAACGAUCAGAAAAGAAUGUAGCCUGUGCUUUGAAGCAUUGUGUGUGUAAUGAUGAGAUCUUUCAAGUAGAAAGUCACUUAACUGUGCUUUCUUUUGUUAUGUCAUUAGAUAUGAAAUCCGAGAUGAUCAUACCUUGAAAAUUAGGAAGGUGACGGCUGGUGACAUGGGUUCAUACACUUGUGUUGCAGAAAAUAUGGUGGGCAAAGCUGAAGCAUCUGCUACUCUGACUGUUCAAGUUGGGUCUGAACCUCCACAUUUUGUUGUGAAACCCCGUGACCAGGUUGUUGCCUUGGGACGGACUGUAACUUUUCAGUGUGAAGCAACCGGAAAUCCUCAACCAGCUAUUUUUUGGAGGAGAGAAGGGAGUCAGAAUCUACUUUUCUCAUAUCAACCACCACAGUCAUCCAGCCGAUUUUCAGUCUCCCAGACUGGCGACCUCACAAUUACUAAUGUCCAGCGAUCUGAUGUUGGUUAUUACAUCUGCCAGACUUUAAAUGUUGCUGGAAGCAUCAUCACAAAGGCAUAUUUGGAAGUUACAGAUGUGAUUGCAGAUCGGCCUCCCCCGGUUAUUCGACAAGGUCCUGUGAAUCAGACUGUAGCUGUGGAUGGCACUUUAGUCCUCAGCUGUGUGGCCACAGGCAGUCCAGUGCCUACCAUUCUGUGGAGAAAGGAUGGAGUCCUCGUUUCAACCCAAGACUCUCGAAUCAAACAGCUGGAGAACGGAGUGCUGCAGAUCCGAUAUGCUAAGCUGGGUGAUACUGGUCGGUACACCUGCAUUGCAUCAACCCCCAGUGGUGAAGCAACAUGGAGUGCUUACAUUGAAGUUCAAGAAUUUGGAGUUCCAGUUCAGCCUCCAAGACCCACUGACCCAAAUUUAAUCCCUAGUGCCCCAUCAAAACCUGAAGUUACGGAUGUCAGCAGAAAUACAGUCACAUUAUCAUGGCAACCAAAUUUGAAUUCAGGAGCAACUCCAACAUCUUAUAUUAUAGAAGCCUUCAGCCAUGCAUCUGGUAGCAGCUGGCAGACCGUAGCAGAGAAUGUGAAAACAGAAACAUUUGCCAUUAAAGGACUCAAACCUAAUGCAAUUUACCUUUUCCUUGUGAGGGCAGCUAAUGCAUAUGGAAUUAGUGAUCCAAGCCAAAUAUCAGAUCCAGUGAAAACACAAGAUGUUCCACCAACAAGUCAGGGGGUGGACCACAAGCAGGUCCAGAGAGAGCUGGGGAAUGUUGUUCUGCACCUCCACAACCCUACCAUCCUUUCUUCCUCUUCCAUCGAAGUGCACUGGACAGUAGAUCAACAGUCUCAGUAUAUACAAGGAUAUAAAAUUCUCUAUCGGCCAUCUGGAGCCAACCACGGAGAAUCAGACUGGUUAGUUUUUGAAGUGAGGACACCAACCAAAAACAGUGUGGUUAUCCCUGAUCUCAGAAAGGGAGUCAACUAUGAAAUUAAGGCUCGCCCUUUUUUUAAUGAAUUUCAAGGAGCAGAUAGUGAAAUCAAGUUCGCCAAAACCCUGGAAGAAGGCAAGUAUGACGAAGCGUAUGAUUUCCAUGCAUUGCAGUAUGUUUGUUAGAAUUUUAUUAGCUUAAUUUAAAUUGUUAUAAUGUUAAUAGUGGCAUUAAUUACUGACUUUCUUGAUAUUCAACAUAUAUUUUGCUAACAGUAUUUGUUUAUUUAGAAAACUAGAAAAGCAAAAUGCUAUAAUAGUUGACUUGCUUCAAUAGUGGCCUACCUCAAAUAUGCAAAUGUGAACAUUUUACUUAAUGGCAUAUAGAAAUUUAAUUAUUCAGAACUAAAAUUCACAUUUAAAAAUGAAAUUGUUUUCCGUUUGGUUUAUUUUCCAUUCAGCAUUUUCUAUUUGUUUAUUUUGAUCCAUGAUUUGAAUAAUGUGUUGAUUUGCCCAGGACUUUCUGGGAUUAGCAUUUUCUUCCUAAAUCUCAUCCCUCUUAAAACACCUCAGUUCUAGACAAACCACUAUAGCUGACCACCCUAUUCCUAGAAAUUAAACAGUAUUUACAUAAAGGUAAAAGAUUACAUUAACUAACAGAAGGAUUUUUCCCAACAUGUCUUUGUCACUUUGGCUGUAUGAGUAAUUAUCAUGAAUGAUUAAUAUUCAUUUUCAUACUUUUCAACAUUUCGGGGGAGAACAUGAGACUAGAAUUACACGGUAGAAGAAAUAGGAAUUGUCCUGGGAUGUUUGGUGGAAACAAGGUAUUUAACUGUGGUUAUGGAAAAUUCACAGUGGCCGUGAAUUAGCAUUAAGUAAGCAACAACUUAGGUAGUUUGGGACUCUUCGGACUUGGAUGAGAUACAUCUUUAAAACAUAUGCAGCUGGGCACAGUGGCUCAGGCCUGUAACCCCAGCACUUUGGGAGGCUGAGGCGGGCGGAUCACCUGAAGUCACAAGUUCAAGACCAGCCUGGCCAAGGCGGUGAAACCCCGUCUCUAUUAAAAAUACAAAAAUUCGUGGGGCAUGGUGGUGAGCGCCUGUAAUCCCAGCUACUCAGGGGGCUGAGGCAGGAGAAUCGCUUGAACCCGGGAGGGGGAGGUUGCAGUGAGCCGAGAUCAUGUCACAGCACCACAGCCUAGACGACAGAGCAAGACUCUGUCUC
rnacentral:sRNA from 1 species